CUGGAAAACCUAUCUUUCUCUCAUCUUCUCUCUCCUACCCGCUUUCUCUCUCUUCUUCGUCUGCUAUUUCUCUCUCCUUUCUCCCCAGAAAUCCGGUGAUCAGCCAAGCACGUAUGUACUAUGGUUUGUAAAAACAAAUUAGAUAAAUCUGCGAAAACAUUUGUUUUCCAAACUUUGCUGCUAAACAAGCACAGCCAUUGUUUAAUUAUUAUUUUCGCAUUCCGUUGUCUAUAAAUUGAAUCCCCAUUGUACUGAGAUUUCAGCCUAAAUCGAGACAGAGAUAUGGCGAUGAGGAGUAACAUAAUGCCGUCACAAGUCCAACACCAUUCCCACCAUCACAGGCUCACUUUAUUUUCCACAUCUAUUUCUUCCACAACUAUUUGCCGUUGUGAUAUCUGUCAUGCCAUAAUCCCAAAUAAUGAACGCCGUUACCGGUGUGAUCCAUGUGACUUUGAUGCUCAUUGCAACUGUGGUAGGUGCUAUUUAGAGUGUUGCAACCCUCGCCAACGCUCCCACUAUCAGAUUCAGUACAGUUUAGCAAACACUGAGACAGGGAUAAAACCACCUCCACCUUCACCUCCACCUCCGCCUCCACCACCUCCACCUCCACCACCACCUCCACCUCCACCUCCACCUCCACCUCCACCUCCACCUCCGCCUCCGCCUCCACCACCUCCACCUCCACCUCCACCUCCACCUCCGCCUCCACCACCACCACCACCUCCUCCGCCACCUCCUCCACCUCAAACCAGUAUCAGCUGGGUUGAUUAUUGGCGGGCCAACAGGGGCUACCAGGUUGCUGCAUAUUGCUGCCGGCCUGUUGUCAACUACUGUUACUGGCCAGCUGUGAAUUAUUGUUACAAUUACUGUUAUCGUCCGGUUAUCAAUUAUUGUUACCGGCCUGCUGUGAAUUAUUGUUACAAUUACUGUUAUCGUCCGGUUAUCAAUUAUUGUUACCGGCCUGCUGUGAAUUAUUGUUACAGGCCAGUUUACAAUUACUGUCAGCGGCGAUGGUGGUGAUAUGUUUGUGGAUGUUUGUAGCUUUGAUCAUGAUGUCCAUCUGAAUAAAGUGUUACGUUUUGUGUCUUUAUUCCUUCACUACAGUUUUGUUGUAUUUUUUAACUCAUGACUAAAUAAUGUUAAGCAAAGUUUGCAAUCCUUAUACUCUCUAUGUCUAUGAAUUAAG
rnacentral:lncRNA from 1 species